GACGAACGCUGGCGGCGCGCCUAACACAUGCAAGUCGAACGAACGGGCGAGAGCUUGCUUUCUCGCGCGAGUGGCGAACGGGUGAGUAACACGUGAGUAACCUGCCCCAGAGAGGGGGACAACAGUAGGAAACGACUGCUAAUACCGCAUAAGCCCACGGCUCGCCAUCGGGGAGGUGGAAAGGGAGCGAGCCGGUUGGAGAUGGCCUCGCGUCCGAUCAGCUUGUUGGGGGGGUGGCGGACCACCAAGGCGACGAUGGGUAGCCGGCCUGAGGGGUUGGGCGGCCACACUGGGAGUGAGAUAAGGCCCAGACUGCUACGUGCGGGAGCAGUGGGGGAGAUUGAACAAAGGGCGGAAGCCUGAUGCAGCAACGCCGCGUGCGGGAAGACGGCAUUCGGGUUGUAAACCGCUUUCGCGUGUGACGAAGCGUGAGUGACGGUACUGGAUAAAGAAGCACCGGCUAACUACGUG
rnacentral:rRNA from 1 species